AGCUCCAAUAGCGUAUAUUAAAGUUGUUGCAGUUAAAAAGCUCGUAGUUGGAUUUCUGGUGGGAGCGAUCGGUCUGGCGCUUAGCGCGAGUACUUGCAUCGUCUCCGGCCAUCCUUGGGGAGAGUCUGUCUGGCAUUAAGUUGUCGGGCAGAGGAUCCUCAUCGUUUACUGUGAAAAAAUUAGAGUGUUCAAAGCAGGCUUAUGCCGUUGAAUAUAUUAGCAUGGAAUAAUAAGAUAGGACUUUGGUACUAUUUUGUUGGUUUGCGCACCAAAGUAAUGAUUAAUAGGGACAGUUGGGGGUAUUCGUAUUCCGUUGUCAGAGGUGAAAUUCUUGGAUUUACGGAAGACGAACUACUGCGAAAGCAUUUACCAAGGAUGUUUUCA
rnacentral:rRNA from 1 species